CCCUUAGAUGUUCUGGGCCGCACGCGCGCUACACUGACGAAUGCAACGAGCUUAUAACCUUGGCCGAAAGGUCUGGGUAAUCUCCAAAUUUCGUCGUGAUGGGGAUAGACUUUUGCAAUUUUUGGUCUUCAACGAGGAAUUCCUAGUAAACGCAAGUCAUCAACUUGCAUUGAUUACGUCCCUGCCCUUUGUACACACCGCCCGUCGCACCUACCGAUUGAAUGGUCCGGUGAAGCCUCCGGAUUGGCGCGCACCUCGGUGCCGCCGAGAAGUUGGCUAAACCUUACCAUUUAGAGGAAGGUGAANUCGUAACA
rnacentral:rRNA from 1 species